rnacentral:misc_RNA from 1 species
GAUGAAGAACGUAGCGAAAUGCGAUAAGUAGUGUGAAUUGCAGAAUUCAGUGAAUCAUCGAAUCUUUGAACGCACAUUGCGCCCGGCAGUACUCUGCCGGGCAUGCCUGUUCGAGCGUCAUUUCAACCCUCAAGCCCUGCUUGGUGUUGGGGCCCCACGGCUGCCGUGGGCCCUGAAAGGAAGUGGCGGGCUCGCUACAACUCCGAGCGUAGUAAUUCAUUAUCUCGCUUAGGGCGUUGGGCGGCGCUCCAGCCGUUAAAGAACCAUCUUUAACUCAAGGUUGACCUCGGAUCAGGAAGGAAUACCCGCUGAACUUAAGCAUAUCAAUAAGCGGAGGA